ACCGGCGCACGGGUGCGUAACGCGUAUGCAAUCUACCUUAUACAGGGGAAUAGCCCAGAGAAAUUUGGAUUAAUGCCCCAUAGCAUUACGACUUGGCAUCAAGAUGUAAUUAAAGUUCCAACGGUAUAAGAUGAGCAUGCGUCCCAUUAGUUAGUUGGUAAGGUAACGGCUUACCAAGACGAUGAUGGGUAGGGGUCCUGAGAGGGAGAUCCCCCACACUGGUACUGAGACACGGACCAGACUCCUACGGGAGGCAGCAGUGAGGAAUAUUGGUCAAUGGUCGCAAGACUGAACCAGCCAUGCCGCGUGCAGGAAGACGGUCCUAUGGAUUGUAAACUGCUUUUAUACAGGAAGAAACCCUCCCACGUGUGGGAGCUUGACGGUACUGUAGGAAUAAGGAUCGGCUAACUCCGUGCCAGCAGCCGCGGUAAUACGGAGGAUCCAAGCGUUAUCCGGAAUCAUUGGGUUUAAAGGGUCCGUAGGCGGUCUUAUAAGUCAGUGGUGAAAGCCCAUCGCUCAACGAUGGAACUGCCAUUGAUACUGUAAGACUUGAAUGCUUAGGAAGUAACUAGAAUAUGUAGUGUAGCGGUGAAAUGCUUAGAUAUUACAUGGAAUACCAAUUGCGAAGGCAGGUUACUACUAAGUGAUUGACGCUGAUGGACGAAAGCGUGGGGAGCGAACAGGAUUAGAUACCCUGGUA
rnacentral:rRNA from 1 species